rnacentral:tRNA from 1 species
CGGGCUAUAGCGCAGUGGUAGCGCGCCUCGUUCGGGACGAGGAGGCCGUGGGUUCAAGUCCCACUAGCCCGACCA